rnacentral:rRNA from 1 species
UACGUAGGGGGCAAGCGUUAUCCGGAUUUAUUGGGCGUAAAGAGCGUGUAGGCGGCCUGAAAGGUCAGCUGUGAAAACUCGAGGCUUAACCUCGAGACGUCGGUUGAAACCAUCUGGCUAGAGUCCGGAAGAGGAGUGUGGAAUUCCUGGUGUAGCGGUGAAAUGCGCAGAUAUCAGGAAGAACACCCGUGGCUAAGGCGGUUCUCUAGUACGGUACUGACGCUGAGACGCGAAAGCGUGGGGAGCGAACAGG